GUAAGAUGCCACGCCCCAGGGGCAUUGAGAUCCACACUUCAGUGGGGGAAGCACGCUCUGAAAAAUGUGCCCCACCUCCCUAACUUGGGGCUUGGCCAGUGGAAUAUCAGUGAAAUGGACCAGGACUCUAAAUGUGCUUUCAUAGUUUGACUUGGCCCCUUAGCCUCUGCCACCUGCCAGGAGUGGGAGUUGCACAUGCCUUGUGGGUCUGGUCUCAAACAAAAGAGACUUCUCAGCUGACUGGAACUCUCCCUCCAGCGUGGAGUCCAACCUAGUCAGUGAAUCUCAACCACAGGUGGAGGACUCUGCUGUCAGGGAUGGGAACUCACAGAUGAAAGGGGUCACACCGAUAAAACCUACUUGCCAACUAGGAGCAACUGCAUUGACAAUUAUAGAGAGAAAGAGAGCACGUGAACAUAAGCAGGAAGAACUGGGAGUCUGACUCCGGGCUCAAUCCCAGGACCUCGGGAUCAUGAGCUGAAGGCAGACACUUAAUCACCUGAGCCACCCAGGCACCCCUACACUAAUCAUUUUAGAGCAUACAACUGAACGUUACUCCUACACAUAUUUCAAAUACUGUAUUGGUGCCUUGAACAUUUCACCACUGUAUUCUACUUGACAGGUGUGCUCCAGUAUCCAGGGGAAAGUGCACUGAUAUCUCUGCCGCUUACUUUAAAAGGCAUGAAACAAAAAAAUGAAUAAAGAUUGAAAUACAUACGGAAGAGUGAAUAAGGGGACGAAUGGAAGGAUGGAUUAUAACAAAGAGCCAGUCUGGCAGUUCCGAGAGACAUCUAUGCCCCUGCCUCCUUCUGACUAUAUUCUCUGCCAUCUCAGCCUGUGGUCUCCGGGGCUUCUGCUCAUUUCUCCGAGGGACCUGGGGGCAAAUGCUGAGUUCAUGCUCCAAAUCCACCUUGGAGCACUCCUGGCUGCUCACUAGGAACUGCCUCCAUCUCCUUCCAACUGUUUCUGCGAUGACUUUGAGAACUCCCUCGGACGCCAUCGCAAUCGCAAACAUAUCAGUAAAGCACUUCCUCCUGGGUCUGAGCAGGGGAGUUGAAGGGCAGGGAUAGGAAGGAUAAGAAAACCAGCCAAAGGCCCCCAGGAACACAGCUGCACCUGGGCAAGUGGUGUUUAUUCCCCGUGGCAGCGAGGGGGAAUGUGCGUCAAGUGGGACUGCGGUAUCUCAGGAAGUCAGAGUGUCUGAGAGGUGUCAGAGAGGACUUGGCAUAGAAUUUGGGCUUGUGUAGGGAAUUUGAGGGAGGGCUUAUGGAAGGGGGGCUUUGCUCUGGGUUGGAUGCUGCCGGGGAGGUGGGGCACGUGUAAUUCUGUAGACAGGUAUCUUAAUAGGUCUUAUGUAGGAGGAAGACUAGAUCUAGGGAGGCUACAGCAGUAACUGAUGAAGAAAGCACAGCAGUCUCUCAAAGCCUCUCUCUCAGAGGGGGAUAUUUGGUCCCAGCUGUGGAGUGGACACACUCAUGUUUUCCUCCACGUUCAUACACUGCUGUUGAGGGUCUUGUUUUCAUCUCAAUCCAUCGUAAGACAAAAUGCUCUUGUCUGAUGCUGCUGUGUGAAAUUGCUAUGUUCAACAGAACACUGAGACCAGGCCCAUAUCCAGCUGUUAGACAUGUCCCCUUCUCAGGGCUCCCUGAGCUUCUAGCUGGAUUUGGUCAAUGGGCAGCCAUAGCAAAUGAUGGAAGGGGGAGAGAGGAGAGAGAAGUCUGGGAACUUAUUCUCCCGGGCUCUCCCCUUGCAGGGCUCCUGUAGCUGGCUACACAUUCCCCUUCAAAGGUCACAGCUCCUCUGAAAGGAGCACUCUCUACAUGACUCUGUUCUUUUAGAUCUUCACAAUAGUCUCUUCUCCUUAUCUAUUUGGGGUUAGGGCUGGUGGUAACAGCUCCAGCAUUCCUGGGCCUGGGGUAUAGCUCCAUCCUACCUUUUUGUAAACAGCUCCUUAGGGAGACCCUUCUUGAAUUAUCCAAUGUGAGUGUGCUGACUGAUGCCUGCUGGGAACCUCCCCAAUGCAAGAGGCUCCCCAGAUGGCAGGCUCAUAGACCUUCUGCAGCGCUGGGCUCUGAUAGAACUUCAUAUUGAAAUGAAGCGUUAUGAAGAUGGCAGGAUCCGCCUGGAGGGCAUGUUCCCCACUUGUGUCCCCAGCCCCAAGCCCGGGGAAGCCACCUCCAAUGAGAGAGCCUGCCAGCCAAGCAAGGCAGCCUCUUUGGUUGCAAAUGGAGAUCUGUGCCCCUGCCGCAGCAGUUGAGAACCUGAAAAGAACUCUGGAGCAGAUAGAUCCUGUGUCAUAAGAAAGUCCCUCCUGGGCCAAUAAAAGACAGCCUGUAUCUGCCUCUAUGCGAGGACAGUGCACUGAGCUGGGCUACUGGGAGGAGGGUGCUGAUUCUCUGCUGCUGACUUGGGUUUCUGCAGUGACUGUAAGGCACAGAGCAGCACCCCCUAGCCUACUUGCUCCAGAGACAUUUCUUUCCCACACAGAGCUGUUUCCUCCACAAAUAUUUACUGUGGAACCAGAAUCUAUGACAGGCAAUGUGAGUUGGUACAAACAGACCCUUUGGCAAAGACUAAAUGAUAAAAUGGGAAAAAUAUAUAUAUAUACAACUCCUAUCUUAGAGAAAGAGCCAAUCUCCCUAAAAUAGAAAACAACCUAUGAAGAACAUGAGCCAAGGACAUGAAUUAUUAGUUCACGGAAAAGAAAAUAACACAAAAGUUUCUCAGUAGAGAAACAGGUGUAUAUGACCGAGUGCAGUUCUCCAGAAAAGAUUGUUCACCCUGGUAGAUAUGAUGUGCAAUAAGAUUGCUACCUAAUUCCAUCUCUUGGCCCAGGUUCCCCAAAAGUUGGCUUUUGAGUCAAGGACUUGGGUUCAGGUAGUCUACUUGGGAAGUGACCCCAGGAAACCCCAGUUCAGAAGUAAA